CCUANGGGUGGCUUCAGUCGAGAAUCUUUCACAAUGGGGGAAACCCUGAUGGAGCGACGCCGCGUGGAGGAUAAGGUCUUCGGAUUGUAAACUCCUGUCAUGCGAGAACAAAGCCCGCAAGGGCCUGAUAGUAUCGCAAGAGGAAGAGACGGCUAACUCUGUGCCAGCAGCCGCGGUAAUACAGAGGUCUCAAGCGUUGUUCGGAAUCACUGGGCGUAAAGGGUGCGUAGGCGGCGGGGAAAGUCAGAUGUGAAAUCCGGAGGCUCAACCUCCGAAUUGCAUCCGAUACUCCCUCGCUAGAGAUUUGUAGAGGAGCCUGGAAUUCUCGGUGUAGCAGUGAAAUGCGUAGAUAUCGAGAAGAACGCUCGCAGCGAAGGCGAGGCUCUGGGCAACAUCUGACGCUGAUGCACGAAGGCUAGGGGAGCAAACGGGAUUAGAUACCCCGNUANUC
rnacentral:rRNA from 1 species